GAUGAACGCUGGCGGCGUGCCUAAUACAUGCAAGUCGAGCGAACGGACGAGAAGCUUGCUUCUCUGAUGUUAGCGGCGGACGGGUGAGUAACACGUGGAUAACCUACCUAUAAGACUGGGAUAACUUCGGGAAACCGGAGCUAAUACCGGAUAAUAUUUUGAACCGCAUGGUUCAAAAGUGAAAGACGGUCUUGCUGUCACUUAUAGAUGGAUCCGCGCUGCAUUAGCUAGUUGGUAAGGUAACGGCUUACCAAGGCAACGAUGCAUAGCCGACCUGAGAGGGUGAUCGGCCACACUGGAACUGAGACACGGUCCAGACUCCUACGGGAGGCAGCAGUAGGGAAUCUUCCGCAAUGGGCGAAAGCCUGACGGAGCAACGCCGCGUGAGUGAUGAAGGUCUUCGGAUCGUAAAACUCUGUUAUUAGGGAAGAACAUAUGUGUAAGUAACUGUGCACAUCUUGACGGUACCUAAUCAGAAAGCCACGGCUAACUACGUGCCAGCAGCCGCGGUAAUACGUAGGUGGCAAGCGUUAUCCGGAAUUAUUGGGCGUAAAGCGCGCGUAGGCGGUUUUUUAAGUCUGAUGUGAAAGCCCACGGCUCAACCGUGGAGGGUCAUUGGAAACUGGAAAACUUGAGUGCAGAAGAGGAAAGUGGAAUUCCAUGUGUAGCGGUGAAAUGCGCAGAGAUAUGGAGGAACACCAGUGGCGAAGGCGACUUUCUGGUCUGUAACUGACGCUGAUGUGCGAAAGCGUGGGGAUCAAACAGGAUUAGAUACCCUGGUAGUCCACGCCGUAAACGAUGAGUGCUAAGUGUUAGGGGGUUUCCGCCCCUUAGUGCGGCAGCUAACGCAUUAAGCACUCCGCCUGGGGAGUACGACCGCAAGGUUGAAACUCAAAGGAAUUGACGGGGACCCGCACAAGCGGUGGAGCAUGUGGUUUAAUUCGAAGCAACGCGAAGAACCUUACCAAAUCUUGACAUCCUUUGACAACUCUAGAGAUAGAGCCUUCCCCUUCGGGGGGGCAAAGUGACAGGUGGUGCAUGGUUGUCGUCAGCUCGUGUCGUGAGAUGUUGGGUUAAGUCCCGCAACGAGCGCAACCCUUAAGCUUAGUUGCCAUCAUUAAGUUGGGCACUCUAAGUUGACUGCCGGUGACAAACCGGAGGAAGGUGGGGAUGACGUCAAAUCAUCAUGCCCCUUAUGAUUUGGGCUACACACGUGCUACAAUGGACAAUACAAAGGGCAGCGAAACCGCGAGGUCAAGCAAAUCCCAUAAAGUUGUUCUCAGUUCGGAUUGUAGUCUGCAACUCGACUACAUGAAGCUGGAAUCGCUAGUAAUCGUAGAUCAGCAUGCUACGGUGAAUACGUUCCCGGGUCU
rnacentral:rRNA from 1 species